UUAGGUAGUUGGUUAGGUAACGGCUUACCAAGCCAUUGAUCGGUACGGGUUGUGAGAGCAAGAGCCCGGAGAUGGAACCUGAGACAAGGUUCCAGGCCCUACGGGGUGCAGCAGGCGCGAAACCUCCGCAAUGUGAGAAAUCGCGACGGGGGGAUCCCAAGUGCCAUUCUUAACGGGAUGGCUUUUCAUUAGUGUAAAGAGCUUUUGGAAUAAGGGCUGGGCAAGACCGGUGCCAGCCGCCGCGGUAACACCGGCAGCUCUAGUGGUAGCAGUUUUUAUUGGGCCUAAAGCGUCCGUAGCCGGUUUAAUAAGUCUCUGGUGAAAUCCUGUAGCUUAACUGUGGGAAUUGCUGGAGAUACUAUUAGACUUGAGACCGGGAGAGGUUAGAGGUACUCCCAGGGUAGAGGUGAAAUUCUGUAAUCCUGGGAGGACCGCCUGUUGCGAAGGCGUCUAACUGGAACGGUUCUGACGGUGAGGGACGAAAGUUAGGGGCGCGAACCGGAUUAGAUACCCGGGUAGUCCUAACCGUAAACGAUGCGGACUUGGCGUUGGGGUGGCUUUGAGCUGCUCCAGUGCCGAAGGGAAGCUGUUAAGUCCGCCGCCUGGGAAGUACGGUCGCAAGACUGAAACUUAA
rnacentral:rRNA from 1 species